GAGUAUGUGGUUUGUUUCCAGUUUGGGGCCACUAAGAAUAAUGUUGCUAUGAAUGCCCACAAUGCCUUUGUGUGGAUAAAUGUACUUAUUCUUGGUUAUACAGUUAGAAGGGGAGUUGCUGAGUUAAAUGUUAGUUUGUGUUUUCAAAAUGAGUAUACCAGUAUAGUGUAACCAACCACCGUGAGUGUUCCAGUGACUCUGUCUCCAUGUUGGUGCUUGGUAUUGUUAGCAUUUAAAAUUUCAGCACUCUAGCAAGUAUAGUGUUAUCUCUUUGUUUCUUAAUUUGCAUUUCUGUUAACCAGUGAUGUUGAGUAUCUUUACUUAUUGGCUAUUUACAUGUAUUAUUUUGUGAAGUGUCUAUUUAAAUCUUUUGUCCAUCCCCAUCACCCCUGGGAUUGAACCCCAGGGAUGCUUACCCACUGAACUAUGUCCCUAGUCCUAUUUUAUUUCAUUUUAUUUUGAGACAGGGUCUCAUUAAGUUGCUUAGGGCCUCACUAAGUUGCUGAGGCUGGCUUUGAACUCACAAUCCUCCUGCCACAACCUCCCAAGUCUCUGGGUUUAUAGGUAUGUACCACCACACCUAAUCUUUUGUUUGAUUGUUUGAUUGAGUUAUUUGUCUUCUUGUUGGAAAGUAUAGUAGUUCUUUAUACUUGUAGGAUACGAAACCUUAUUUGGAUGCAUAUUUUGCAAAUUUUUCUCUCAUUUUAUUUUCUGAAGUGGGUUGCCAAAGUCAAAUAAAAAUGUAUAGACAAAUCUUCACACAAGAGAUUUCAUUUAGGAAUAAACAAACAAUAAUAUUGCAAUUCAGGAUAUGAGCACAUUUUGGGGGCCUCUCUAGUAUGUCUGAAAAACAAAAAGAGAGCCUGGUGCAGAGGUGCACACCUAUAAUUCCAGCAGUAGGGCUUGGGAGGCUGAGACAGGACAAUCACAAAUUCAAAGCCAGCCUGAGCCACCUAGUGAGUCCCUAAGCAACUUACUGAGAUCCUGUCUCAAAAUAUGAGAGUUAAAAAAAAAAAAAGGCCGAGGACGAGGCUCAGUAGUAAAGCCCCCAGCCCCUCUUUUUUUUCUUAAAGUUUUAAGAUUUUGACUUUUAAAUUUAGGUUUGUGAUCUAUUUUGAGUUAAUUUUUGGCACAUAGUAAAAGAUAAGAGUUUG
rnacentral:lncRNA from 1 species